rnacentral:rRNA from 1 species
CAUGCAUGUCUCAGUACAAGCCAAAUUAAGGUGAAACCGCGAAAGGCUCAUUAAAUCAGUUAUGGUUCCUUAGAUCGUACACAAUUUACUUGGAUAACUGUGGUAAUUCUAGAGCUAAUACAUGCAUACUGAGCUCCGACCGGAGACGGAAGGAGCGCUUUUAUUAGAUCAAAACCAAUCGGUGACUCUCUGUCAUCGUACAACUUGGUGAAUCUGAAUAACUUUAAGCUGAUCGCACGGUCUAGCACCGGCGACGCAUCUUUCAAAUGUCUGCCUUAUCAACUGUCGAUGGUAGGUUCUGCGCCUACCAUGGUUGUAACGGGUAACGGGGAAUCAGGGUUCGAUUCCGGAGAGGGAGCCUGAGAAACGGCUACCACAUCCAAGGAAGGCAGCAGGCGCGCAAAUUACCCACUCCCGGCACGGGGAGGUAGUGACGAAAAAUAACGAUACGGGACUCAUCCGAGGCCCCGUAAUCGGAAUGAGUACACUCUAAACCCUUUAACGAGGAUCAAUUGGAGGGCAAGUCUGGUGCCAGCAGCCGCGGUAAUUCCAGCUCCAAUAGCGUAUAUUAAAGUUGUUGCGGUUAAAAAGCUCGUAGUCGAACUUGUGUCUCGCGCCGACGGUUCAUCGUUCGCGGUGUUAACUGGCGUGCAGCGAGACGUCCUGCCGGUGGGCUUAGCUUGCAAAGGCGGCCCGAAUCAAUCCCGCCGCGGUGCUCUUCAUUGAGUGUCGAGGUGGGCCGGCACGUUUACUUUGAACAAAUUAGAGUGCUUAAAGCAGGCUAAAAUUUUGCCUGAAUAUGUGUGCAUGGAAUAAUGGAAUAGGACCUCGGUUCUAUUUUGUUGGUUUUCGGAACCCCGAGGUAAUGAUUAAUAGGAACGGAUGGGGGCAUUCGUAUUGCGACGUUAGAGGUGAAAUUCUUGGAUCGUCGCAAGACGGACUUAAGCGAAAGCAUUUGCCAAAAACGUUUUCAUUGAUCAAGAACGAAAGUUAGAGGUUCGAAGGCGAUCAGAUACCGCCCUAGUUCUAACCAUAAACGAUGCCAGCUAGCGAUCCGCCGACGUUCCUCCGAUGACUCGGCGGGCAGCUUUCGGGAAACCAAAGCUUUUGGGUUCCGGGGGAAGUAUGGUUGCAAAGCUGAAACUUAAAGGAAUUGACGGAAGGGCACCACCAGGAGUGGAGCCUGCGGCUUAAUUUGACUCAACACGGGAAACCUCACCAGGCCCGGACACCGGAAGGAUUGACAGAUUGAGAGCUCUUUCUUGAUUCGGUGGGUGGUGGUGCAUGGCCGUUCUUAGUUGGUGGAGUGAUUUGUCUGGUUAAUUCCGAUAACGAACGAGACUCUAGCCUGCUAAAUAGUCGUAUUUCGACAUCUUAAAGGCUCGCCGGCAUUCGGGUUUACUCGGUGUCGUGUGCAGUUUUUACUGUCGGCGUACAAAUAACUCUUCUUAGAGGGACAGGCGGCUUCUAGUCGCACGAGAUUGAGCAAUAACAGGUCUGUGAUGCCCUUAGAUGUCCUGGGCCGCACGCGCGCUACACUGAAGGAAUCAGCGUGUCCUCCCUGGCCGAGCGGUCCGGGUAACCCGCUGAACCUCCUUCGUGCUAGGGAUUGGGGCUUGCAAUUGUUCCCCAUGAACGAGGAAUUCCCAGUAAGCGCGAGUCAUAAGCUCGCGUUGAUUACGUCCCUGCCCUUUGUACACACCGCCCGUCGCUACUACCGAUUGAAUGAUUUAGUGAGGUCUUCGGAUUGGUACGCGGUAGCGAUUUAUGCGUCGCCGAUGUUGUUGAAAAGAUGACCAAACUUGAUCAUUUAGAGGAAGUAAAAGUCGUAACAAGGUUUCCGU